GACGAACGCUGGCGGCGUGCUUAACACAUGCAAGUCGAACGGAAAGGCCCUGCUUUUGUGGGGUGCUCGAGUGGCGAACGGGUGAGUAACACGUGAGUAACCUGCCCUUGACUUUGGGAUAACUUCAGGAAACUGGGGCUAAUACCGGAUAGGAGCUCCUGCUGCAUGGUGGGGGUUGGAAAGUUUCGGCGGUUGGGGAUGGACUCGCGGCUUAUCAGCUUGUUGGUGGGGUAGUGGCUUACCAAGGCUUUGACGGGUAGCCGGCCUGAGAGGGUGACCGGAGAAGGUGGGAGUGAGACACGGCGCAGACGUGGAGGGGAGGCAAGUAGGGGGAGGAGAGCAGGGGGGGCCGAGGGGUGGGGCGGCAGCGCGGGGUGGGGGAUGACGGCCUUCGGGGUGUAAGCCGCCCGCGGCGGGGAGGGGGAGGGAGGGACGGUAGGGGAAAAAGAAGCACCGGCUAACUACGUGCCAGCAGCCGCGUGAGACGCGGAGGAGCAAACGGCGACCC
rnacentral:rRNA from 1 species